ACCGUACUCCUACGGGAGGCAGCAGUGGGGAAUAUUGGACAAUGGGCGCAAGCCUGAUCCAGCCAUGCCGCGUGAGUGAUGAAGGCCUUAGGGUUGUAAAGCUCUUUCGCCGGUGAAGAUAAUGACGGUAACCGGAGAAGAAGCCCCGGCUAACUUCGUGCCAGCAGCCGCGGUAAUACGAAGGGGGCUAGCGUUGCUCGGAAUCACUGGGCGUAAAGCGCACGUAGGCGGGUCGUUAAGUCAGAGGUGAAAGCCUGGAGCUCAACUCCAGAACUGCCUUUGAUACUGGCGACCUCGAGUUCGAGAGAGGUUGGUGGAACUCCGAGUGUAGAGGUGAAAUUCGUAGAUAUUCGGAAGAACACCAGUGGCGAAGGCGGCCAACUGGCUCGAUACUGACGCUGAGGUGCGAAAGCGUGGGGAGCAAACAGGAUUAGAAACCCGUGUAGUCCUUGAC
rnacentral:rRNA from 1 species